UACGUAGGCAGCAAGCGUUGUUCGGAGUUACUGGGCGUAAAGAGUGCGUAGGCGGUGUCGAAAGUUUGGCGUGAAAUCUCCCGGCUUAACUGGGAGGGCGCGCCGAAAACUGCGAUGCUGGAGUGUGGGAAAGGCAAGCGGAAUUCCUGGUGUAGCGGUGAAAUGCGUAGAUAUCAGGAGGAACACCGGCGGUGUAGACGGCUUGCUAGACCAUAACUGACGCUGAGGCACGAAAGCGUGGGUAGCAAACAGG
rnacentral:rRNA from 1 species